rnacentral:rRNA from 1 species
GCAGUGGGGAAUAUUGGACAAUGGGCGAAAGCCUGAUCCAGCAAUGCCGCGUGAGUGAUGAAGGCCUUAGGGUUGUAAAGCUCUUUUACCAGGGAUGAUAAUGACAGUACCUGGAGAAUAAGCUCCGGCUAACUCCGUGCCAGCAGCCGCGGUAAUACGGAGGGAGCUAGCGUUGUUCGGAAUUACUGGGCGUAGAGCGCGCGUAGGCGGUUUUUUAAGUCAGAGGUGAAAGCCCAGUGCUCAACACUGGAACUGCCUUUGAAACUGGAAAACUUGAAUCUUGGAGAGGUCAGUGGAAUUCCGAGUGUAGAGGUGAAAUUCGUAGAUAUUCGGAAGAACACCAGUGGCGAAGGCGACUUGCUGGGCUUGUAGUGACGCUGAGACGCGAAAGCGUGGGGAGCAAACAGGAUUAGAUACCCGAGUAGUCC